rnacentral:lncRNA from 1 species
UUUUCUGCUCCCCCAUUCCUCUACUGCAAGAAACUGAAAUUUCUCCGGCUUGUUCAUUGCAAAGAUCUCGGCACAAGUGCUUCGUCAGAUGGAGGAGAGGUGAAGGAUCAAACAACGCACGGGACUGGCUCAUUGUCAUGUGAUGGAAUCAUAAGAGAUGGAGGCAAAAAUCCAGAGUUACUUUUGAAGGAAAGAAUGUGGGAGAUUGCUGGUGAUUUGCACAGUAAUAUACACUUGAAUUGGGAUCUGGAGUAUGUCUCCCGUGCUGUUCCCAGUUUCAAAUCGGUGAUGCCUGAUGGGAUUCGGAUUUUGUUGCCCCCUCUUAUUCCACAUCACACUGAUUGCCAGCAGUCGAGUCAUUCUUUUCAAACUAUUAUUGAGAAGAAUCAUGACCCAACAAUGGCAACGUCCUUCUUCAUAGCCCCAAACAGAGAUAAACCCUCCACUGAUGAACAACAAGGCUUCACCACUGAUACUACAAGACUAUCAUCCCACAUGUUCAAGCACUAUAAGAAUCUUCGUGUCAUACAACUGUCCUGGUGCACUUUCAGUUUUUCUGCUCCCCCAUUCCUCUACUGCAAGAAACUGAAAUUUCUCCGGCUUGAUCAUUGCAAAGAUCUUGGCACAAGUGCUUCGUCAGAUGGAGGAGAGGUGAAGGAUCAAACAACGCACGGGACUGGCUCAUUGUCACGGCCAUGCCCCGACGACCUUUUGGUGCUACAUCUGAAUCACACAAACAUCAACCUUCUUUGGUGUACGGGUCCACCUAUGAAUCCAAGAGAGUUGUACUUCAGUGGGGUCAAGAAUUGGAUUGAGCAUCACUUACAUGCUGUACAGCUUGG